rnacentral:rRNA from 1 species
UACGUAGGGGGCAAGCGUUGUCCGGAAUUAUUGGGCGUAAAGAGCUCGUAGGCGGCCUGUUACGUCUGCUGUGAAAUCCCGGGGCUUAACCCCGGGCGUGCAGUGGAUACGGGCAGGCUGGAGGCAGGCAGGGGAGAACGGAAUUCCCGGUGUAGCGGUGAAAUGCGCAGAUAUCAUGAGGAACACCGGUGGCGAAGGCGGUUCUCUGGGCCUUACCUGACGCUGAGGAGCGAAAGCGUGGGGAGCAAACAGG